CUGAUCGAACUCUGCCGCUGUUUCGCAAUCGAUCGAUUUAUCACGGAAAAACCCAAGUCGUUAGACCUCAGGCGUUUCCUUCUUCGUCGUCGAUCCGACGCCGAUUGUGUCGAUCUAAGCCUGGCGAGAUGGGUAGCGGUAGGGUUGGCAGAGGAGGCACGUCCGCGCGGCCGACCUACUUCUCGUCGUCUUCGCACCCCUCGGCCCCUCCUCAUCCGCCGACGGAGACGGCGUCGACGUCCGUCACCGAGACGGUGAACGGCUCCCACCACUUCAGGAUCUCGGGGUACUCGUUGCUCAAGGGGAUGGGUGUCGGAAAGUACACUGUGUCGGACACGUUCACAGUGAGGGGGUACGACUGGGCCAUCUACUUCUAUCCCGAUGGGAAGAGCGCGGAGGACGGCGCGGCGUACGUGUCGCUGUUCAUCGCCCUCGCGAGCGAGGGGGCCGACGUGAGGGCGCUUUUCGAGUUGACGCUGCUGGAUCAGAGCGGGACAGAGCAGCACAAGGUUCACAGCCACUUUGGUAGGAUGCUCGGGAGCGGCCCUUACACUGUUAAGCACCGCGGCAGCAUUUGGGGGUAGAAGCGUUUUUACAGAAGAACAGCUUUAGAGACAUCAGAUUAUCUUAAAGAUGAUUGUCUCUUGGUUAAUUGUAGUGUUGGUGUUGUUAGAUCAUACACAGAAGGACCCAACAUUUGCACCAUAGCAGUGCCACCCUCUGACAUAGCUCAGCAUUUUGGGCAGCUUCUAAAGAGUGAAAAGGGGACGGAUAUAAGUUUUGAAGUUGAUGGUGAGGUUUUCAAUGCUCACAAAUUGGUACUUGCAGCUCGAUCACCUGUGUUCAGGGCUCAACUUUUUGGUCCAAUGAAAGAUGUAAACAUGCAUUGCAUAAAGGUUGAAGAUAUGGAACCUUCAGUUUUCAAGGCUCUACUCCAUUUUAUAUACUGGGAUUCCGUAUGUGACAUGGAAAGGAUUACUGGUUGGGAUGCAAAGUGCGCUUCAACUCUAAUGGCUCAACAUUUGCUUGCUGCUACUGACCGCUAUGCGUUGGACAGGCUUGAAGUACUUUGUGAAGUCAAGCUGUGUGAGGAUGUUGCUAUAAAUACAGUGGCCACCAUUCUAGCAUUGGCUGAGCAGCACCAUUGUUUUCAUCUUAAAUCUGUUUGUCUCAAAUUUGUUGCAUUACCGCAGAACUUGAGGGCGGUGGUGCAAUCUGAAGGAUUCAAAUACUUGAAGGUCAGUUGUCCAUCACUUCUAAAAGAGCUGUUACAGUAUGUUGCCGGGAAAGGAGAAAAUUCAGCGGUUUCGAGUGCAGACACGAAUGAUGCCCUCGAUGGCAGUGAUGCGAAUGGAAGGCGUGUCAAGCCCCAGAUAUGAUAUUUUCUGUUCAGAUAUUAUUUUGAGUCGGGUCUGCCGUACCGAAUCGUACCGCCUGGUAUGGACGGUACGUACCGGUCCGACAGGAUAUCGGUACGUGGACCGUUUGUUACCGGUCCGAGUGCAAUAUAACAUUGUAGCAGUGCUACAGUACUCGAUACACCUAGGUAUAUCGCUCGGUAUACCGUACCGUACUGGUACCGAGCC